rnacentral:lncRNA from 1 species
AGGUGUAGAGGGGGGAUGCCUCCACUUCAUACUAUUAAAUGAGGUGGAGAAAUCCACUCCAUGCUAAAUAAAGUGGUGAAAUGCAUUGCUGCAUAUCAUCUUCUUCUUCACCAAUUGUCUUAGGCAGCCAUGGAAAUGGAGAAACCAACCCUGCAACUAUUGGCCAGCAGCUACAAAUAAUUUGGUUAGUAAUUUCCUUGUUUGGUGUGUUAGUUCUUUAGAAUACCUUUGUUAAUUACCCAUUAAUUUUAAGAAGGGGGCGUGACCAGUAGCUUAGGAAGUUUGUUUUAGUUAUUGAAUGUGCUAAGUAUGAACGGAAACCAUAAUCAGAUUAUUAGUGGUGUCGUGUUGGUGCUUGGGCUGUUUUGAUUAAAGCAAACUGCGGGAAAAUUCUGUUUUGGCAUUAUGUAUAUGUUAAAUGUGAUUAUGAGUAUAUAAUCCAAAGGAUGAAUACAAUAAGGUAGAUGUGUUGCGAAUUAUAAAACGAUUUAUCGCUCGGUGUGUCGUUGCUUCGCUGCUAUGGUUGCCGAGACGGAAUUGUUUUGGGGAGGGAGCUCUUUAAUAUGAUUCGUUGGGUUAUAUGUGUUAUUGGUAUUGCUGUGGAUAAUUUGGGUUGUUGUCGGAUUGGGACGAAGUAAGGAAAAUAGGGGAAGUGCUGCCGAAUUUUCGUUUGAUUAUUAGCUAACUUACAAGAAAGUAAAGCGCGAUGUUUAUCUAAUUGCGGCACGAUUGUUGCUUGUUAUAGAUUAAUAGCUUGAGCAAUAAAUAUUGGACGUGCGGCUCGAUUAUACGGUAUGUAACGCUGUCCCUCCUUUCUUUGUUUGGCAUGACUUUUAAAAAUAAGCGAAUAACGGACAGGUUUGAUACUUACCUCUAGAGCGUCUAGGUUAUGUAUAUUCUUGCUUCCACAAUUAUUCCUCUAUAUAUCGGCUAUGUCUAAGGCUAUGAUGAUCUCUCAUAUCUAUGGUAGUGCUUCUUAGAGUCAUUGAGAUUUUACGUUUCCAUAUCGUAUUAAAGGUUCAUAAUCUUGAUAAAACAUUAAUCUUUGGUAAUUCUCCUUGCUGGUUCACGUUGAUUGUUCUAUUGAGUUAUAAGAAAUGAUUUUAAUUACAUAUGGUUGCUCAUAAUAUUCUGCUCAUGCAUAGAGUCAUUUAUCAUUUCACCGAGUCCCGGGCAGGGUAAUGUUCAUGCGGAGUUUCUUGCAUAUGUCACCGAGUUCCUCACUAGAGGGCCGGGUAUGUAUAUUAUAUAUAUGAUUGGUGAUGAGUAUGGUUAUGAUGAUGAUGAUGAUGACGGAGAUGACGUGAUGAUUAUUUUGCCGAGCCCCUUACUAGGGAAGCUGGGCACCUUAUAUGUUAAAUAUAUGCAUGAUUUUCACUUAAAAGGGUAUAUGUGUAGCGAUAUUUUGUUUCGACUUGCAAUAUUGGUAUCCUGUCAUCUUUACCUUAUGCUUUACAUACUCAGUACAUUGUCCGUACUGACCCCCCUUUCCUCGGGUGGGGGGGGCUGCGUUUCAUGCCCGCAGGUGUAGACGCACAGUUCGGUGAUCCUCCCGCCUAGGAUAUCUACUCUGCUGAUUGGGAGAGCUCCACUGUUCCGGAGCCCAGUCGUUUUGGUACAUAACUUUUUGUGUAGUCUUUUGCUCGUCUAUGGGUAUGGCGGGGCCCUGUCCCGUCGAGUUUCAUUACUGUACUCUUAGAGGUCUGUGGACAUUAUGUGGGUUGUAUAUAUAUGUUUUGGGUAAUGGUCUGGACAUGGUUUUUUUGGGAUGUUCGCUUGUACAGGGGUAGCGUUGUCGGCUGCGUACAUCAUUGUGUAUUGCGUAGUGGCAGCCUUGUCGGCUUACGUAUGUUAUUAUGCUUUGAAUAGUGGCGGUCUUGUCAGCUCGCGUAUGUUGUUUUGGUUGAAUGGUUAUGACUCCUUACGAGACAGGUCCUCUUUAUAUAUAUAUGACGUUGGGGUUGGC